rnacentral:rRNA from 1 species
AUUGAACGAUGGCGGCAGGCUUAACACAUGCAAGUCGAGCGAGCGGCGGACGGGUGAGUAAUGUCUGGGAAACUGCCUGAUGGAGGGGGCUAACUACUGGAAACGGUAGCUAAUACCGCAUACCAUCAGAUGUGCACAGAUGGGAUUAGAUAGUAGGUGGGGUAAUGGCUCACCUAGGCGACGAUCCCUAGCUGGUCUGAGAGGAUGACCGGCCACACUGGGACUGAGACACGUUCCAGACUCCGACGGGAGGCAGCAGUGGGGAAGAUUGCUCAAUGGGCGCAAGCCUGAUGCAGCCAUGCCGCGUGUGUGAAGAAGGCCUUCGGGUUGUAAAGCACUUUCAGCGAGGAGGCGUUACUCACAGAAGAAGCACCUGCUAACUCCGUGCCAGCAGCCGCGGUAAUAC